CCUACGGGUGGCAGCAGUGAGGAAUAUUGGUCAAUGGACGAGAGUCUGAACCAGCCAAGUAGCGUGAAGGAUGACUGCCCUAUGGGUUGUAAACUUCUUUUAUAUGGGAAUAAAACGUUCCACGUGUGGGAUUUUGUAUGUACCAUAUGAAUAAGGGUCGGCUAACUCCGUGCCAGCAGCCGCGGUAAUACGGAGGAUCCGAGCGUUAUCCGGAUUUAUUGGGUUUAAAGGGAGCGUAGGUGGAGUGUUAAGUCAGUUGUGAAAGUUUGCGGCUCAACCGUAAAAUUGCAGUUGAAACUGGCAGUCUUGAGUACAGUAGAGGUAGGCGGAAUUCGUGGUGUAGCGGUGAAAUGCUUAGAUAUCACGAAGAACUCCGAUUGCGAAGGCAGUUCACUGGACUGCAACUGACACUGAGGCUCGAAGGUGUGGGUAUCAAACAGGAUUAGAUACCCGAGUAGUC
rnacentral:rRNA from 1 species